GACGAACGCUGGCGGCGUGCUUAACACAUGCAAGUCGAGGGCACUAUUGGGGCAACCUGGUAGUGACCGGCGAACGGGUGCGUAACACGUGAGCGACCUUGCCUCGUGGUGGGGGAUAGCCGGCCCAACGGCCGGGUAAUACCGCAUAUGGUGCUGUCUUCGCAUGGAGACGGUAGCAAAGCUGUGUCGCAAGACAUGGCGCCACAGGGGGGCGGUC
rnacentral:rRNA from 1 species